rnacentral:rRNA from 1 species
AUGUACGGAUUUGUGUUUGUAUUUGCCUGGGUUUGGGGGAAGGCUAGGGAAGUUCAUCACAAGAUAGGAUUUCAGAAUUUUAUGGACUUUGAUUGCAAUAAGGCAGGAGAGUCUUCAGCCAAGCAUUGUUAUAGCAUUUGCAACGAGGGCACACUCAUCCAGGCAAACACCUUAACUCAUUGUGGAAAGGCUAAAAAGUGGAAUAGCCUCAACAAAUUGAACAACCCGGAGUCAAGUCAUGGAUCACUUCCAAGGGUUAAUGACCCCAAGGAAGAUGCAGAAACAGGAAAUGAUGCAACCGCCUCAGAGUGUAGCAUUAUGUGCUUCACUGAUCUGCCGUCUGCAUUGGUCUGUGAAGUCCUUGCGCGCCUUGAUCCAAAGGGGCUUGGGGUUGUAUCUUGUGUCUCCACAGUUCUGCAGACCCUAGCCACAGAUCAUCAGGGAUGGAAGAAAUUCUACUGUGAGAGGUGGGGACUUCCAAAUGCUCCUAUCGGACCCCUAGUUCCAGGUGGAACUCCAGAUGGGAGGUCAUGGAAAGCAUUGUUUGUGGAUCGGGAGUUUCAAAGUAGAUCAUUCAUGGGAAGAUUUAGUGUGGAUGUUCUCCGUGGUCACAAUGAGGAUGUACGCACUGUGUACCUUCUGGCAUCAGCAAAUCUGAUAUUCACUGGUGGCCAUGAUUCUGUGGUUCGGAUGUGGAAUAUGGAGGAAGGGCUACUAAUUGAUGAGUCCCGCCCAUUUGGUUGCACUAUCCGGGCAAUUGCAGCUGACAGUAGGCUUUUGGUAACUGGAGGAUCCAAAGCCUUCAUUCAGUGUUGGAGGGCUAUUGAGGGGGCCUCACACCUUUUCCACAUUUCUGGUAAUGGUACUAACCAGAAUUCUGAAUUUCGCCUAUGGGGGCAUGAAGGGCCUGUGACUUGUCUUUCCUUGGAUUCAACAAGGAUUUACAGUGGUUCUUGGGAUAUGACUGUUCGUGUUUGGGACAGAGCCGAGAUGAAGUGUGUGCAAAAGUUCAUGCAUGCUGACUGGGUUUUGGCCCUGGCUCCUCAUGGAAAUACUGUUGCCAGUACAGCUGGUAGAGACGCAUAUGUGUGGGAUAUCGGAAGUGGCGAGUUAACAACUAUAAUUUCCAAUGCCCAUGUUGGUAAUGCAUAUUCUGUAGCUCGAACACACCUGGCAGGUGUGCUGUUUACUGGAGGAGAGGAUGGGGCCAUUCGCUUGUUCGAUGUUUCUGAGAUAUCUGAUGAUGAGAAUAUUAAACCAGCUGCCACUUGGUUGCCGCAUUCUGGCCCUGUUCAUUCUCUUGCUUUUGAGUACCCAUGGCUUGUUUCUGCCUCUAGUGAUGGCAGGAUUGCACUAAUUGAUUUGAGGAAGAUCCUGACCCCCCUAAACUCAUCAAAGCGCCGAUUCAGGGUCAAGCCCUUUGAUCCAAGCACCGUAGAGCCUCCACAGCGAAUGCUUCAUGGCUUUGGAUGCUAUCUUUUCUCCGUCGGCAUCGGUGCAGAUAGAAUCAUAUGUGGAGGCGAGGAUGGCUCUGUCAGGGUCUGGAACUUCUCAGAAGCACUGGAGAUUGAGAAGAAGGCACAGGCUUUAAGGAGUCUGAGACAGGAGAACCGCAUGAGGCGGAGGAAGGCGCAAGUGGAGAUGAAUGCAAAUGGUAGAAGGGUUGACCAUUGCUCAGUAGCCAUGAAAAGGAACCCAUUGAAGGGUGAUAAGAGUGUCACCUGGCAAAUCAAGCGCCCCAUCAGUGACAAGGUCAAAUCCUAG